rnacentral:rRNA from 1 species
UACGAAGGGGCUAGCGUUGCUCGGAAUCACUGGGCGUAAAGCGCACGUAGGCGGAUUGUUAAGUCAGGGGUGAAAUCCUGGAGCUCAACUCCAGAACUGCCUUGAUACUGGCGAUCUUGAGUCCGGGAGAGGUGAGUGGAACUCCGAGUGUAGAGGUGAAAUUCGUAGAUAUCGGAAGAACACCAGUGCGAAGGCGGCUCACGUGGCCCGGUACGCGACGCUGAUGU